rnacentral:rRNA from 1 species
GACGAACGCUGGCGGCGUGCUUAACACAUGCAAGUCGAACGGAAAGGUCCUGCUCUUGCGCGGUGCACGUGAGGCGAACGGGUGAGAAUCACGUGUGUAAACCGCCCCUGUAUGUCUGAUAACUUUUGGAGACUGCGGAUAAUACCGCAUAGGAGCUCCUGCUCCACAGUGGGGGUUGGAAAGUUUCGGCGGUUGUGGCUGGAAUGGCGGCUUCCGCGCCAGUUGGUGGGGUAGUGGCUUACCAGGGCUGUGACGGGUAGCCGGCCUGGGCGGGGGACCGGCCACAAUGGUACUGAGGUACGGCCCAGACUGCUACGGGAGGCAGCAGGCGGGAAUAUUGCGGAAUGGGCGCAAGCCUGAUGCAGCAACGCCGCGUGCGGGAUGACGGCCUACGGGGUGUAAACCGCUGUCGCCUGUGACGAAGAGGGAGUGACGGUAACGGGUAAAGAAGCACCGGCUAACUACGUG